rnacentral:rRNA from 1 species
GUAGUCAUAUGCUUGUCUCAAAGAUUAAGCCAUGCAUGUCUAAGUUUAAGCAAUCUAAACAGUGAAACUGCGAAUGGCUCAUUAACUCAGUUAUAAUUUAUUUGAUAGUGCAACCUUUACUUGGAUAACCGUGGUAAUUCUAGAGCUAAUACAUGCAAAAAAACCCAAACUCACGAAUGGGUGCACUUAUUAGAUAAAACCAACGCUGGGUAAAACCAGUUUCCCUUGGUGAUUCAUAAUAAUUUAGCGGAUCGCAUGGCCUUGUGCUAGCGACAGUCCACUCGAUUUUCUGCCCUAUCAUGGUUGAGAUUGUAAGAUAGAGGCUUACAAUGCCUACAACGGGUAACGGGGAAU